UCGAGUUGGAAUCCACGAACCCAAGUCCAGCAUCGACUUCGAGGCUUGGUUUAGUAUAAACUUGGCCUCGUUUCAUCACUCUCGUCGCCUCCAUCGCCGACCUCUCGACCUCUCCCUCCCCGGCAAUCGCUUGCUAGACCUUCAUCCACCACCAAGAGUCAGUAUCACCGCACGACUCCACCAAUAUCGAACCAAAUGUGCAUCGAUGAACUCACUCGCCAACCGCUCGACGAAAUGCCUGGCCAAACGUGCAUCAUUGGCUCUCAUACCUACCCAGAGAGAAGAAGAAACAAGUAGAAGAAAUCUUCACUGGCCAAUGUUGAUUUGACUUGUUCAGACUUCGAGUAGCCAAGCUAUGAUCAAACCGCAUGGGUAGAAUUCCAUAUCAGGUGAUAGCUGCCCCUUGAUAUUUUGCUUUGGAACAUUUUAAGGUCCUGGAAUUUAUGGGUUUUAUCCUCUUUCAGAAUUAAAUCAGUGUUUACUCCAUUCAUAGUUCUUGAUAUUUUUCUACAGUGCAUAUUGAUUUGUUUAUUCUGCCUUUAUGCAUUCACUUGACAUCUUGCAUUUUGAACUUUCCUUUGAAAAGACUAUAAAUCUCUAAUCUUUGGUUAACAUGCAUAUUUUAAUUUCUUUAUUCCAGCUUAUUUCCUUGAAAAAGCUCAUAUUUUUCGGUUUUCCUAGAUGAAGCCCUUUUUUGCAAAAUGGCUGCAUAGUGUCUCUUAUGCCUUGUGCCAACCAAAAUGUCUUCUUUGAUAGCCACUAUUGAUGUUGGGUUUCUUAUUGGUUUUUCAUUAUCAUUUUUUCACAAUCACUUACUACAGAUAUUAGAAGGAUUUUCAAAAAAGAAAGAUCUAAAUUUUAGGUUUUUUGGAAAAAAAAAUGAAGAUUUGUUAUCAAUCAAUUGUUUGAAAUGUGUUGAAACCUUUUUAAUUUUCAUCAGAUCCUCCAAAAUCUCAUACAAAUUUUUCUAUGAUACCUCAAAAUUUAUAAUAAGAUGAUUGAUAAUAUUGGUAGGAUUUGAAGUGAUUGAAGCUCGAUAAUGGUGUUUUUAAAAAUAGUUAUGAUAUUUUUGAUUCAAUAACAAAAAAUACUUCAAAUAUUGGAGUACCAAGUUAACUCACUGAAGAUGGUUAUGUACUAACCCCAUUUACCAAAGGUUGAGGGCUCAAAACUUCAUCUGAUAUUUUUAUACAUAAAAUAUUAGCUUGAUGGUGGUGUACGAAACUCACUUAUUAAAAGUUGAGGGAUGGAAACAUCAUUUAACAUAUUUAAUUACCUAAAAUAUUAGUCUUGUGAUGGUUUAUUAGACUCACUUAUCAAAGGUUAAGGGUUUGAAACAUCGCCCGAUAUAUUUUUACACUUAAGACAUCGGUCUGUAUCAGAUCCACUUAGUAGAGAUUGAGAGUUCAAAAUCACAUUCGAUAUAUUUUUAUGCUUUAAACAUUGAUCUCACGCAUCAAUGAUUAAGAGUUUAAAACAUCAUCCAACAUAUUUUUACACCUUAAAACAUUGAUAUGGUGAUGAUGUACGAGACUGUCUUACCGAGGGUUAAGGGUUUGAAACUUCAUUUGAUAUAUUUUUAAAAGUUUUAGUUAGCUUAGCUGAUAAAACUUAAAACAAUUCAUCACAAGGUUUUGUGUUCUAAUCUCAUUUUCAUCAUUUAUUCUAAAUAAAAAAUAAAAAAUUACUAUAGCCAAUUUUAGUUUGUGUUGGUUUGGUUGAUGAGUCGAUCUAGACUAAGUGUAUAUCGAUGAAAAAUCCAAUAUUAAUGGUUGUCACAAGGACAUUUUUUUUAUUCAAUAAUGCAUAAGAGACACUCUGUAGGCAUUCUGAAAACAUGAAAUUUGACAUGGGAAAGUCCAUAAAUCUGUGGUUUUUUUUUUCGGAAAAUUUACCUCGUAAUUUUCUUCUUCAAUUUUUCUGGGGCUUAAGGGUGCAGAACGGUCCCUUUCUAUCAACGCUGACUGAUUAGAUUAGGUUUGGAAGGUUCAAAUUGAUGAAACAUUCUACCUGAUUAUGUCAAAUGUCAUCACAUGUGAAUGAUUGCGUUAGGUGGAUUGUUUUGACGACCAAUUCCAAUGUCUAAUGUAUCAUUCAAAGUUGCAGUGCAUUUUUUUCAGAAAAUAGCAGCUCAUAUUCCUCGCUUGAUAGCAGAGAUGGAGUCAAGAACCAUUUUUUUUACUUGGUUGUGUUUGGAAGAAAGAAAUAAUGAAGUCUUCCAGAGAGAGAGAGAGAGAGUUGGUUUUGUUUGGAAGAAAGAAAUCAUCAAGUUUUCCACAGAGAGAGAAAGGGAGAGAAGAAUUUGGACAGCUGGUGAUGAUGAUUGGAUCGAAAGGGAUCUGGGGACGCGCAAACGCAGCCGACCCUUAUUUUUAAGUGUAUGCUUUGCGAUGAACUGUUCAUUCCGCGUUAUUGACGUGAUUAUUUUAUUGUGAUGUUGAUUACUGGUGUUAAUGAUAUGAAUCGAUUGGACGAA